rnacentral:rRNA from 1 species
AGAGUUUGAUCAUGGCUCAGAUUGAACGCUGGCGGCAGGCCUAACACAUGCAAGUCGAGCGGCAGCGGGAAAGUAGCUUGCUACUUUUGCCGGCGAGCGGCGGACGGGUGAGUAAUGUCUGGGAAACUGCCCGAUGGAGGGGGAUAACUACUGGAAACGGUAGCUAAUACCGCAUAAUGUCUGCGGACCAAAGCGGGGGACCUCCGGGCCUCGCGCCAUCAGAUGAACCCAUAUGGGAUUAGCUUGUAGGUAAGGUAACGGCUUACCUAGGCGACGAUCCCUAGCUGGUCUGAGAGGAUGAUCAGCCACACUGGGACUGAGACACGGCCCAGACUCCUACGGGAGGCAGCAGUGGGGAAUAUUGCACAAUGGGCGCAAGCCUGAUGCAGCCAUGCCGCGUGUAUGAAGAAGGCCUUAGGGUUGUAAAGUACUUUCAGUUGGGAGGAAGGCGUUGAUGCUAAUAUCAUCAACGAUUGACGUUACUCGCAGAAGAAGCACCGGCUAACUCCGUGCCAGCCGCCGCGGUAAUAC